GUCUGGGGCGCCUGUCACACUUUCCGAUGGCUGAUGGGCUCUGCAGGAAACAUGGAGGGCCUGGCCUUCAAUGGGUCUGGGGGCAGCUCUGCUCCCACCCUGAGGGGGGUCUUGAGGGGUGAGAAGAAACCUGAAGAGGCCAGAUGAGGAAACAGCAUGCCAGAGGAGACCCCUGAGUCCCAGGAUAGGUGGAGAAGGGCCCAUGCAGAGUGAUGCUGAGGCCUGAGGCAGAGAGGGUCCCCUGGGCUCUGAAGAGGGUGCCUGGCAUGUUCUGGACGAGAUCCAGGGACCGCAGGGAAGAGACCAUGGAGGAUUUGGCCCAGAUUAGCAAGAAAAUCAGAAAAACGGAAGCCCAUGGAACUGUGGAGCCCAACUCCCAAAUUGGAACCCACCUGGUGAGGGGCUCCAGCAGGUAUGAAGACAGCAUCUCCC